rnacentral:rRNA from 1 species
CAGUAGCCACGGUAAUACGGAGGGUGCAAGCGUUAAUCGGAAUUACUGGGCGUAAAGCGCACGCAGGCGGUCUGACAAGUCAGAUGUGAAAUCCCCGGGCUUAACCUGGGAACUGCAUUUGAAACUGUCAGGCUGGAGUCUUGUAGAGGGGGGUAGAAUUCCAGGUGUAGCGGUGAAAUGCGUAGAGAUCUGGAGGAAUACCGGUGGCGAAGGCGGCCCCCUGGACAAAGACUGACGCUCAGGUGCGAAAGCGUGGGGAGCAAACAGGAUUAGAUACCCCCGGUAGUCCCUGUCUCUUAUA